rnacentral:rRNA from 1 species
GAUGAACGCUAGCGGCAGGCUUAACACAUGCAAGUCGAGGGGCAGCAUGAGACGGAGAUUCGUCGAAGUCUUGAUGGCGACCGGCGCAAGGGUGCGUAACGCGUGAGCAACUUGCCCGUUUCUGGGGAAUAACCGGUGGAAACGCCGACUAAUACCCCAUAGUAUAACGAAGAGGCAUCUUUUGUAUAAAGAAUUUCGGAAACGGAUAGGCUCGCGUGACAUUAGCUAGAUGGUGAGGUAACGGCUCACCAUGGCGACGAUACAUAGGGGGACUGAGAGGUUAACCCCCCACACUGGUACUGAGACACGGACCAGACUCCUACGGGAGGCAGCAGUGAGGAAUAUUGGUCAAUGGACGCAAGUCUGAACCAGCCA